rnacentral:rRNA from 1 species
AAUGGACCNAUAUCAGGCAAGA